ACGCUCGACACCUACGGGAGGCAGCAGUGGGGAAUAUUGCACAAUGGGGGAAACCCUGAUGCAGCGACGCCGCGUGAGCGAAGAAGUAUCUCGGUAUGUAAAGCUCUAUCAGCAGGGAAGAAGAUGACGGUACCUGACUAAGAAGCACCGGCUAAAUACGUGCCACAGCCGCGGUAAUCUGAGCGGGCUGGCAAGGC
rnacentral:rRNA from 1 species